rnacentral:rRNA from 1 species
GACGGACGCUGGCGGCGUGCUUAACACAUGCAAGUCGAACGGAACGGCCCAGCUUGCUGGGUGAUCGAGUGGCGAACGGGUGAGUCACACGCGGGUGAUCUGCCUCUAACUUCGGGAUAAGCUUGGGAAACUGGGUCUAAUACCGGAUAGGACAAUCGUUUAGUGUCGGUUGUGGCAAGUUUUUUCGGUUAGGGAUGAGCGCGCGGCCUGUCAGCUUGUUGGUGGGGUAAUGGCCUACCAAGGCGUCGAAGGGUAGCCGGCCUGAGAGGGUGGCCGGCCACAUUGGGACUGAGAUACGGCCCAGACUCCUACGGUAGGCAGCAGUGGGGAAGAUUGCACAAUGGGCGCAGGCCUGAUGCAGCGACGCCGCGUGGGGGAUGACGGCCUUCGGGUUGUAAACCUCUGUCGACUGGGACGAAGCGUUAGUGACGGUACCUGGAGAAGAAGCACCGGCUAACUACGUG